ensembl:snoRNA SNORA74 Small nucleolar RNA SNORA74
UCCAGCUGUAGGCAGCUGUCUAGAUUGCCUUAUACCUAAGCAAGUGUUCCAUCACUGGGAGAAAAGCAGUCAAUAGCAGGUGGCAUGCUGGGGCUGGUUAAUGCCAAUUCAUGUUGACUAUACCAGUGUGCCAGAAUAAUUGCUUAUUCUAUUUCUUUAAAAAAAAAAAU